rnacentral:tRNA from 1 species
GCCCUCAUCGUCUAGCGGCUAGGACACCAGAUUCUCAAUCUGGGAACAGGGGUUCGAUUCCCCUUGGGGGUACCA